ACAUCUUAUUACAACAAUGACGUCUUCCCGUUAUAUUGCAACGAGCUGUUGCAAUACCACAAUUAAUGCAGUUCUCCAUUACGAUAGGCGAAAUCGAGGUCC